CUUACAACCCUGGGUUUAGCAGGUCAAUAUGCAAACCAUUGAGCUAUCCCUCCCCCACUACUUUACUAUGAAUGGUUGGGACUGGGGUUCAUGUGCUGACCCCCAGUGUUUCUGCCAGACCUGAUCAAGGCAUUCAUUCCACAAGGAUUGAUUACGGGCAGAUUUUCUGUAUUUUGUUUCUACCCAAGGCAAUCUGUUUCCAUAACAUGCAGGGAUAUGUUCUCAAAGCGAUCUAGAAGGGCUACAAAAUGAAUGGCGCCAUCUUUGCCAACACGCUUCUGCUAAUGCUUUGCCAAAUUUACUCAUCAUCCUUUCUCAUCGAGAUUGCAGUCUGAAUCUGCAUGUAAAUGCCAGAAGCGACAGACAGAAUAGCUUUGAUGACCUGUAGUGACUUGAUCCACAAUUUGCUUCCCCUCCUUCCCCACUUCUACCUUGAGACUGUCACAGAAAGCACAGUGUGCUGUUUAUACACUGGAAAUUUGCAGAUUUUUUUUUAAAAUGCAUGUUGACUAUUGAACAGGGAUGUGUGACCCAGAUGAGAUAAAGUUAAGGCCAAAUAUGUACCUGCACCUAAACCUCCAACUGCAUCUUUUAUGAGGUGUGAAAAAGUUUGGUUAACCUACAUACACGCAAUAUCUAUAGAAUGUGUGUGAAAGAGAGCAUGCACUGGGGUUGCAAUUCACCUCUGUGCAAAGAUCCAGCAUAAAUCUUAUUUUGAUGGGUUAACUGGUGUCUAGUGCUGGCCCCUCUGGACUGGGGUGAGUUGCACCCUGGGCAACUAUUUAAACCAGAUUUAAUUCAGUGAAUUUUUCUUUUGUUCUGGAAUUUCUCAAAUCUGUUAAUUGAUUCCAAAUAUUUUUAUGACUAAUUCUUGAUCUUGUAGUUCACUGCAAGUACUUAAUAUCCAACAUAUUGUGCUUCAGGACCCAAGUCACAUGAUGUAGGCCCAUUUUUUCCAACUGGAUGAGCUUAAUUCUAUGCAUGUCAUUCUUACACACCUAGAAAUACGGGUCUGGAAGGGACCUCAAGAGGUCAGCUAGUCCAUUCCCUGCAUGCUCAGGCAGGAUUCUUUGUAUCAUUAAAUACUUGCGAUCAGAAAUGUGCUUAUUGGGAAUAUUCUGCAACAUUUGUUUAAAAGUAGCUUUCUUCCAGUAAAAUUAUGCCCUGGAAAGAUCAUGAAAAGGGACCUCAGUCAAAGGGAAUUCAUUUAAAAAAACUGAACAAAUAUUUACAGACAUUUUUUCAUUACAGCAUUUGCCCAGCUCUCGCUGUGUUUUGUAGAUGAUUAUAAUACACACAAGAUGAUACACAGUCACCUGUACAUUUGUGUGCAUUAGAAUCACAUACACACAAGUAUAUGUGUGCGCAUCAGUUUUUUUACACUCGAUUACACUUCCCAGUUCUGCCAGAAGAGUAUUUUCAUUCUGUGAGAGUCUACUCUUGAGGUAUAUCUGAACAGGACACGAACCAAGUUAUACAUAGUUUUGAGAAAAGAAGACUGAGGUGGGACCUGAUGACAGUUUUCAAAUAUACUAAGGGCUUUUAUAAAGAUUUAGGUUUGAUAUUAGCAAUAUCUUUCUAAUUGUAAGGAUAGAUAAGCUCUGGACCAGGCUUCCAGGGGAGGUUGUGGAAUCCCCAUCAUUGGAGGUUUUCAAAAACAGGUUAAACACACACCUGUCAGGGAUGGUCUAGUUUUAUUUAGUUCUGCGUCUGCACAGGAUGUUGGCCUAGAUGACCUCUUGAGGUCUCUUCCAGCCGUCCACUUCUAUGAUGAUUCAUCAUUGGCCUAAAAUGUAACCUUCUCUCAGGAGAUUUCCAGCUCAGCAUCAAGGUACAAAAAAGAAUGGUUCCAAUAUGCAUCUGAAAUUUAGGACACAUCCAAAUCCCUGCACUUUUUGAGCAUCACUGUUUGGGAGGUGACCUUUAUGGGCUUAUUAGAGCUUGUUGAGUUUCUUUUCAUUCUAAACACUGCAAAUGUGCUUUCCUUGGCAUGCGUCUCUCUGAUGGGGUCUAUAGAACAUCAGUCGAGCUAUUGUCUACAUUCCAAAGAAUUUUAAAUACGUGAUAAAUAUAUGUAUACAUGUGUGUUAUAAUGGACUAUCCCCAGGAAUUAACUGCCUCAGUAGAAGAACAUGUCUUUUUUUUUGUUUUUGUUUUUACACAUGGGAUUUUUUUUAAAGCUGAUAAACAUAGAGAAAAAAAGAGAUUGUUAUAUUGUGCUGUUCAACUAUUUUCCAACUUGUAUUUUCAUAUAAUUUAUAUUUUUUAAAAGUGAAAAAAAUUUAAAAGCAAGAUUAAAAAAAAGAGGAAAAAGCAGGUGCUUUUUUUUAAAAAAAAAAAAACAGAACUGAGGUAGCUUAGAGAUGUAGCGCUGUGUGUGUGUCUGUGUGUGUGUUUAAAAAAAAUUCAAAAAUCUCCCCUCAGAAAUGAAUUCUUAAGGGAGAGAUUGGUUUUGUUUUAAUUGCUGAUGCUGGCACAUCAUUUUGAUGGAGAAUUUUUUAUAUACUGUAGCCUUGUUUCCUAUUGUAUUUUAAACCAUGUGAAAUAAAAAAAAAUCAUAAAG